AAGAACUGCUCUCAGCACUGUGAGGUAUACGGAGGGUGAACGUCUUUCUGUCUUGUUGCUGUAGUGAGGAUCGGGGUGAGGAUUAGUGAUGAGGACUCUACUGAUCUUGGGGGGUCUCGUGGUCUGCGUGCUGCUGGUGACCCCAUCUGAUGGUGGCAAGACGGAGGACCAGGAUGGAGGAGGAGAGGAGAACUCGACGGAUUCUGAAGAGCCGACAGUCCCAGCAGAAUCCAGUUACCCCCAAAGAAGUGACAAAAAUGAGCUGUAAUGUCAG